rnacentral:rRNA from 1 species
UGGGGUUCGGGGUGAUCGGGCUCGGGCGAUCCUCCACCCUUUGUGUACCUACCUCUGUUGCUUUGGCGGGCCGCGGUCCUCCGCGGCCGCCCCCCUCCCCGGGGGGGUGGCCAGCGCCCGCCAGAGGACCAUCAAACUCCAGUCAGUAAACGAUGCAGUCUGAAAAACAUUUAAUAAACUAAAACUUUCAACAACGGAUCUCUUGGUUCUGGCAUCGAUGAAGAACGCAGCGAAAUGCGAUAAGUAAUGUGAAUUGCAGAAUUCAGUGAAUCAUCGAAUCUUUGAACGCACAUUGCGCCCUUUGGUAUUCCGAAGGGCAUGCCUGUUCGAGCGUCAUUACAACCCUCAAGCUCUGCUUGGUAUUGGGCACCGUCCUUUGCGGGCGCGCCUCAAAGACCUCGGCGGUGGCGUCUUGCCUCAAGUGUAUUAGAACAUACAUCUCGCUUCGGAGCGCAGGGCGUCGCCCGCCGGACGAACCUUCUGAACUUUUCUCAAGGUUGACCUCGGAUCAAGUAGGGAUACCCGCUGAACUUAAGCAUAUCAAUAAGCGGAGGAAAGAA